AACGAACGCUGGCGGCAGGCCUAACACAUGCAAGUCGAACGCCCCGCAAGGGGAGUGGCAGACGGGUGAGUAACACGUGGGAACCUUCCCUAUAGUACGGAAUAGCCCAGGGAAACUUGGAGUAAUACCGUAUACGCCCGAAAGGGGAAAGAAUUUCGCUAUAGGAUGGGCCCGCGUAGGAUUAGCUAGUUGGUGAGGUAAUGGCUCACCAAGGCGACGAUCCUUAGCUGGUUUGAGAGAACGACCAGCCACACUGGGACUGAGACACGGCCCAGACUCCUACGCGAGGCAGCAGUGUGGAAUAUUGGACAAUCGGCGCAAGCCUGAUCCAGCCAUGCCGCGUGAGUGAUGAAGGCCUUAGGGUUGUAAAGCUCUUUUGGCGGGGACGAUAAUGACGGUACCCGCAGAAUAAGUCCCGGCUAACUUCGUG
rnacentral:rRNA from 1 species